UGGGGAAUUUUGGACGAAUUGGGGGCAACCGUCGAUCCAGCAAUGCCGCGUGUGUGAAGAAGGCCUUCGGGUUGUAAAGCACUUUUGUCCGGAAAGAAAACGCCGUGGUUAAUACCCGUGGCGGAUGACGGUACCGGAAGAAUAAGCACCGGCUAACUACGUGCCAGCAGCCGCGGUAAUACGUAGGGUGCAAGCGUUAAUCGGAAUUACUGGGCGUAAAGCGUGCGCAGGCGGUCCGCUAAGACAGAUGUGAAAUCCCCGGGCUUAACCUGGGAACUGCAUUUGUGACUGGCGGGCUAGAGUAUGGCAGAGGGGGUAGAAUUCCACGUGUAGCAGUGAAAUGCGUAGAGAUGUGGAGGAAUACCGAUGGCGAAGGCAGCCCCCUGGGCCAAUACUGACGCUCAUGCACG
rnacentral:rRNA from 1 species